AUGUGUUCCUGUUUUGGCAAAAUUGUCACUGAGAGGGAGAUUUCUGGUCCAGAAUAAAAUUUCUGGACAAAAUCUGAAAGAAAGGGAAGUCAGAACACACUGUAACCUGGAGGACUUUCCUGGCAGUUUGGUGAGCCUGAACUGUCGUGUGGAGUUGAAUAUGCUUACCGCAUGGACUGCUUCUCAUGAUGAUUCCAAAAAGUAGUGAAGAUUUGUUGCACAAAAUCAUUUGUGGAAGUGCUUCCAUUCUGAAGAGAUACAUGGAAGGACAAGAAGACAUGAAAGAUGUUUCAAGCAGAGUUUGCAAGAAAGACAGGAAAGAGUCUGAGAAAGAAGUCUGUGAUUACUCCUGAAGAUGAUGAUUAAACAGGCUCAAGCUUCCUCUUUGGUUGAUGUGAAUUCUGAACAAUUUCCAUAGGCUCACAUGGAUUUCUUUCGGGUCUGUAUUGGUGCAGCUAAAGUUGG
rnacentral:lncRNA from 1 species